CAAGAGAGUGAGAGACAGAUCGGUCCUUUUCUCAUCGUCCUUAACCCACGGCUUAGGGGGUUCAGUCCUUUAUCCCCUCCGAUUUGACCCUUUUCUGAAUUUCCUUAGCCUUUCUUCUAAAUCGAUUACCAGAAGAAGGGUUUUCCACGAACCCCGUGUGGGUUUUUUGUUCGCUCCUUGCUCGGAUCAUCCUCCGCGGGCUGCUGAAUUGACUCGAGGCUCCAACCCGGGUGUUCUUGAGGCCUACCUUGUGAUUCAUUGGACACUUGGAAAUUUUGCACGUCGACCGUCAAAUGGGACUUUGCUUUAGUAAGUCUUUCUGGCUUGAUGCAUGUUUUAUGAUCCAACUGGGAAAUUAUUGUGUUCACUGUGCCCAGCCUGAUAUCAAAGAUGAGGAGUCUUAGCAUCAUGUUGAGUUUGGUGCCGCAAAUGUGCAUCUCAUCACAACCAAAAUAGCUUGGGACCAAAAGCUCGAAGAAGCCCGUUCGGAUGGCAAGAUCGUGAUUGCGAACUUCAGUGCGACAUGGUGUGGUCCUUGCAAGAUGAUUGCUCCGUUCUACUGCGAAAUAUCGGAGAAAUACCCGUCGUUGAUGUUGAUGAAUUAAGUACGCGUUCUCCGACC